AAAAAAAUCAGCUUACUUUAUUCAAUGGAAUUUGGAAAAAAAAAUACAAAUUACUCUCCAAAGGCGGACUUUACUCUAGCUUUGAGCUCUGUACAACCAGUACACCUACUAUUUAUAGUAAUUAGUAUAUUCACAACACAAUUAUUGUAUACAAUGAUAUGACAAACAAUUUAGUUUCUACAUUUACUUAGCGGUACGUAGACGUACACUAAUUAAGAGAAUUAUUUUACUUAAAGCUACGCGUCAACAGUGCUUGCGAACCUGUAACGCUAAAACAGAUGAUUUUGCGGAACGCUCAGUCAGUCAGUUAGUCGUGUCAAAAUGAUGCUAUAGAAGCUCCAUACGUAAGAACGUGUAACAACGAGGUAUGAGGGCCCGUUUUCCACCCAAGCGGAGCGGAGAGGAGAUAUGUUCAAUCGACCAAUCAGAUUCUUAAUAGAUGACUUCAAAAAAUUGACACGUCGUGUUUGAGAUAUCUGAUUGGUCGAUUGAAUAUAUCUCCCCGCUCCGCUCCGCUUGGAUAGAAACCGGACCUUAAGAAUGGAGGUCGGGGUUUUCGCGACCAAUUUUCGUCUGCGGAGCGACUUUUCCUUUUGAAUAGUUUAGAGAGUUGAAGUACAGGUUCGUGAACAUCGUGACAACCCAGCUUAACAAAAAUGAGAUUACUUUAAAAAACUUGGCACAAAAUAAUUAGAGACUAUCUACUUAAAUGACGUUAGAAAAAAUCACGAAUUAUAAUAAUCGAAUACCCUGCGGGACGCUAUGACGAGAUAAAAAGUAACUGACGGUACACUUAAAAAAAUAACACUAAACUAUUUUUUUUUUAGGUAAAUAUUAAUUAACGACUAACAUAAAAAAUCUAACUCCUAAUGAUUUAAAUCUAAUACUGAAAAUAUCGAAACACUUUACAUUUAAACAUCACACUAUAUUAUUUUUUUUUAGGUUUUUUUCGUUUAAAUAAUAUAUAUAUUUAACAACGCACUGUACAAACAACAAAGUUUUCCGUUACAUAUUAUAGUUAUAGUUACAUUUAAUAUUAUAAUAUACGUACGUGUACUUAUGUUAUAUAUAAUUAAAUUAUCAUUAUAAUUAAAUAAUCGUAAAGUGAGGCGGUUUUGUGAUUUGUCGGUGCGGCAAAGGUGUAGUAUCGGUAACUAUAAUAUUACUGCUAUGCUUGCUAGCAUUUGAAUAUACUAAAUGGUAAUAGACCCAGAUUUGCCGGAAAUGAUAAAAAGAGACAAAUUCAUUAAUAGCAACAUGGUUGUACACGCACAGCGGUAUCAUUUCGGUAUAAGACUUAGCCGAGACCAUACUAAUGCCGCACUGACAAAUAAAGAAACUGCCUAAGGGUCAAAAUAGUGGGCGGAUUUUACAGUACAAUAUUUUUAAUGAGAAAAAUAUUACUUGCUAACUUUUACAAAAAAGUUGUUUUUUUACAACGCCCACAAAAAAUUGCGGGUAAUAUUUUUGGAUAUAUAGUAAAGUAGGUGUAAAUAGACAAACUAUUGUUAAUUUUGAAAUCUAAAUAUACCCCCACCCUAGAGUAGACUAAACACACCUAUGUUCGACUUCAAAGUAAAUAUUUCACUAUGAAAAUCAAGAAAAAUCUUAAUAUUAUUGUCUUCUGAAUGGUUAUAUUAUGUAUUUAAAAAAUAUUAGUUUUCAAUAUACCUAGCGACGAAUAAAUUCAACAUUUUGAGAUUUCAAAUUGUACCUUCAGUCAAUAUGUCAAAUUUAUUCCUCAUACACACAUUUUUGAUAAUUUUGUGCCCAACGACAUUUCUGACGUUGUAUUGUGAAUGUGGUAUGUAAGAACAUUUUAUAUAGGCUGUGUUGUUACUUAAUAUAGUAUAUUGCAGCUAUUAUUUUAUAUAUAUUGUGUUAUAAGUGUGUUCAGCCUUUAUCACGUCAACAUGGCGCCCAUAACUCCAAACCUGCAAAAUUACGUCCGAAUCACAGCCAAACCGUUUAUAAACAUUCCAAAAAUAUCUUCUGAAAAUUUAGCAUGGCAUGAGAUUACACAGAACGCCUUUGCGCUACAAUAUAAGCUUAGUAAUUAUAACUAAGGGUUGCUUCCCACGGUCCGUAAAAGCACGAGCAUAUUUACUUCUAGUGUUAUUUUUCUAUUGGUUUUUAUAUAGUAAAAUAUUGAUUUUUUUCGUUGUUUAUCUAUUUUUAUUAAUAUUUAGAAUUGCUGACAGAAAAUCAGAUGCGCAAAUCGUCCCCGACAUUUCUUAAUGUUAUUUUUCUCAUGAGUCAGUACAAAUUAAAAUGUAGCAUUUGUAGUUCGUACGUACUAUCGCGACCCAUGAAAAGCCACCCCCUAACAACAAAAGUGAAUUGAAAAAUGAGGAGAAAUUCUGACAUAGGUAUAUUAUACAAAUACAAUAUAGGCUAUUUUAUACAAAAAGCGAUAUAAAGAUAGAUUAAAUCAUAAGGGAAGUUACGUGAAGGAAUUUAUUAAAAAAAAAAUGUUAAUUAGGUUGUGCGUAGACAAUAUUCUUAUACAAAUCUCAAUCAUACGAUAAAGGUAGCUGUCCACCAGACAUGUGCGAGAUAUACGAGCUGUAAGAAAAAUGUCAACCAAUAAGGCUGCAUUUCCACCAGGGAUGUAAAGGGGUUGUCGUUUAAUCGCGUGAGAUAGCAUUGGCUUAUUAUCCUUUUCAUAUUAAACAGCUUUAUCCGAUGGACUACCGUACUUAGAUAUAAAUAAAUGCGUAGACUAGGUCAGCGGCAAAUAUUGGAACAUAAGUUAUAAUGUUAGUAAUUAGUUCAUUUAUUUUAUUUGAUGGUUACAGAUCAAAAUGUAGUCU